GGCCCCGUAGCUUAACUGAAUAGAGCAUCUGACUUCGGAUCAGAAGGUUGUGGGUUUGAAUCCCGCCGGGGUCA
rnacentral:tRNA from 1 species